rnacentral:rRNA from 1 species
GAGUUUGAUCGUGGCUCAGGAUGAACGCUAGCGGCAGGCUUAAUACAUGCAAGUCGUGGGGCAGCAUGGUGUAGCAAUACACUGAUGGCGACCGGCAAACGGGUGCGGAACACGUACACAACCUUCCUUUAAGCGGGGAAUAGCCCAGAGAAAUUUGGAUUAAUACCCCAUAGUAUAUUGAUUAGGCAUCUUAUUAAUAUUAAAGAUUUAUCACUUAAAGAUGGGUGUGCGGCUGAUUAGAUAGUUGGCGGGUAACGGCCCACCAAGUCUACGAUCAGUAGCUGAUGUGAGAGCGUGAUCAGCCACACGGGCACUGAGACACGGGCCCGACUCCUACGGGAGGCAGCAGUAAGGAAUAUUGGUCAAUGGGCGAAAGCCUGAACCAGCCAUGCCGCGUGAAGGAUUAAGGUCCUCUGGAUUGUAAACUUCUUUUAUCUGGGACGAAAAAGGGAAUUCUUACUCACUUGACGGUACCAUAGGAAUAAGCACCGGCUAACUCCGUGCCAGCCGCCGCGGUAAC